rnacentral:rRNA from 1 species
CAGCCGCCGCGGUAAUACCGGCGGCCCGAGUGGCGGCCACUAUUAUUGGGCCUAAAGCGUCCGUAGCCGGGCUGGUAAGUCCCCCGGGAAAUCUGGCGGCUUAACCGUCAGAAUUCCGGGGGAUACUGCCAGCCUAGGGACCGGGAGAGGCCGGGGGUAUUCCCGGGGUAGGGGUGAAAUCCUGUAAUCCCGGGAGGACCACCUGUGGCGAAGGCGCCCGGCUGGAACGGGUCCGACGGUGAGGGACGAAGGCCAGGGGAGCGAACCGGAUUAGAUACCCGGGUAGUCCUGGCUGUAAACGAUGCGGACUAGGUGUCGGACAAGCUAUGAGCUUGUCCGGUGCCGGAGGGAAACCGUUAAGUCCGCCGCCUGGGGAGUACGGCCGCAAGGCUGAAACUUAAAGGAAUUGGCGGG